rnacentral:rRNA from 1 species
GAUGAACGCUGGCGGCGUGCCUAAUACAUGCAAGUCGAGCGAACGGACGAGAAGCUUGCCUCUCUGAUGUUAGCGGCGGACGGGUGAGUAACACGUGGAUAACCUACCUAUAAGACUGGGAUAACUUCGGGAAACCGGAGCUAAUACCGGAUAAUAUUUUGAACCGCAUGGUUCAAAAGUGAAAGACGGUCUUGCUGUCACUUAUAGAUGGAUCCGCGCUGCAUUAGCUAGUUGGUAAGGUAACGGCUUACCAAGGCAACGAUGCAUAGCCGACCUGAGAGGGUGAUCGGCCACACUGGAACUGAGACACGGUCCAGACUCCUACGGGAGGCAGCAGUAGGGAAUCUUCCGCAAUGGGCGAAAGCCUGACGGAGCAACGCCGCGUGAGUGAUGAAGGUCUUCGGAUCGUAAAACUCUGUUAUUAGGGAAGAACAUAUGUGUAAGUAACUGUGCACAUCUUGACGGUACCUAAUCAGAAAGCCACGGCUAACUAC